AUUGAACGCUGGCGGCAGGCCUAACACAUGCAAGUCGAGCGGAUGAAGGGAGCUUGCUCCUGGAUUCAGCGGCGGACGGGUGAGUAAUGCCUAGGAAUCUGCCUGGUAGUGGGGGACAACGUUUCGAAAGGAACGCUAAUACCGCAUACGUCCUACGAGAGAAAGCAGGGGACCUUCGGGCCUUGCGCUAUCAGAUGAGCCUAGGUCGGAUUAGCUAGUUGGUGAGGUAAUGGCUCACCAAGGCGACGAUCCGUAACUGGUCUGAGAGGAUGAUCAGUCACACUGGAACUGAGACACGGUCCAGACUCCUACGGGAGGCAGCAGUGGGGAAUAUUGGACAAUGGGCGAAAGCCUGAUCCAGCCAUGCCGCGUGUGUGAAGAAGGUCUUCGGAUUGUAAAGCACUUUAAGUUGGGAGGAAGGGUUGUAGAUUAAUACUCUGCAAUUUUGACGUUACCGACAGAAUAAGCACCGGCUAACUCUGUGCCAGCCGCCGCUGUAACAC
rnacentral:rRNA from 1 species